rnacentral:rRNA from 1 species
GACGAACGCUGGCGGCGCGCUUAACACAUGCAAGUCGAGCGAGAACCAGGCCUUCGGGCCUGGGGAAAGCGGCGAACGGGUGAGUAACACGUGGGUAACCCACCCUUGGUACCGGGAUAGCCCGAGGAAACUCGGAUUAAUACCGGAUGGCCCAACAGCUUUUCGGUAGCGGUUGGAAAAGGUAGCUUCGGCCUCCGACCAAGGACGGGCCCGCGGCGGAUUAGCUUGUUGGUGAGGUAACGGCUCACCAAGGCGACGAUCCGUAGCUGGUCUGAGAGGACGAUCAGCCACACUGGGACUGAGACACGGCCCAGACUCCUACGGGAGGCAGCAGUGGGGAAUCUUGCGCAAUGGGCGGAAGCCUGACGCAGCGACGCCGCGUGAGGGAUGAAGGCCUUCGGUCGUAACCU